UUCGGGAGGCAGCAGUGGGGAAUAUUGGACAAUGGGCGAAAGCCUGAUCCAGCAAUGCCGCGUAAGUGAAGAAGGCCUUCGGGUUGUAAAGCUCUUUUACCCGGGAAGAUAAUGACUGUACCGGGAGAAUAAGCCCCGGCUAAUUCCGUGCCAGCAGCCGCGGUAAUACGGAGGGGGCUAGCGUUUUUUGGAAUUACUGGGCGUAAAGCGCACGUAGGCGGCUUUACAAGUCAGGGGUGAAAGCCCGCGGCUCAACCGCGGAAUUGCCCUUGAGACUGUAUCGCUUGAACACGGGAGAGGUGAGUGGAAUUCCGAGUGUAGAGGUGAAAUUGGUAGAUAUUCGGAAGAACCCCAGUGGCGAAGGCGGCUCACUGGACCGUAGUUGACGUUGAGGUCGGAAAGCGUGGGGAGCAAACCGGAUUAGAUCCCCUGGUAGUCCCCCCCGUAAACGAUGAAGACUAGCUGUCAGGGUGCUUAGCACUUCGGUGGCGCAGCUAACGCAUUAAUCUUCCGCUGGGAUAGCGCCGC
rnacentral:rRNA from 1 species